GACGAACGCUGGCGGCGUGGAUUAGGCAUGCAAGUCGAACGGUAGGAUCCUUUCGGGGAUCUGAGAGUGGCGAACGGGUGAGUAACACGUAGGUGAUCUACCCUCAAGACGGGGACAACCCAGGGAAACUUGGGCUAAUACCGGAUGUGAGCUAUCGCGAGAUAGUUUGAAAGGUGGCUUCGGCUGCCGCUUGAGGAUGAGCCUGCGUCCUAUUAGCUAGUUGGUGAGGUAACGGCUCACCGAGGCAGUGAUAGGUAGGCGGCCUUAACGGGUGGUCGCCCACACUGGGAUUGAGAUACGGCCCAGACUCCUACGGGAGGCAGCAGUCGAGAAUAGUCUACAAUGGUCGAAAGACUGAUAGUGCGACGCCGCGUGAACGAAGAAGCCCUUCGGGUGUAAAGUUCUUUUAUAUGUGAGCAGUGACACCCAUAUUAAUAGUAUGGGUGUAGAGAUAUUAGCAUAUGAAUAAGCAACGGCUAACUCCGUGCCAGC
rnacentral:rRNA from 1 species